rnacentral:rRNA from 1 species
AUUGAACGCUGGCGGCAUGCUUUACACAUGCAAGUCGAACGGUAACAGGCCUUCGGGUGCUGACGAGUGGCGAACGGGUGAGUAAUGCAUCGGAACGUACCCAGAGGUGGGGGAUAACGCAGCGAAAGCUGUGCUAAUACCGCAUGUGAUCUGAGGAUGAAAGCGGGGGACCGAGCAGCAAUGUUUGGCCUCGCGCCUUUGGAGCGGCCGAUGUCGGAUUAGCUAGUUGGUGGGGUAAAGGCCUACCAAGGCGACGAUCCGUAGCUGGUAUGAGAGGACGACCAACCACACUGGGACUGAGACACGGCCCCGACUCCUACGGGAGGCAGCAGUGGGGAAUUUUGGACAAUGGGCGCAAGCCUGAUCCAGCAAUGCCGCGUGCGGGAAGAAGGCCUUCGGGUUGUAAACCGCUUUUGGCAGGAACGAAACGGUGUCCGCUAAUACCGGGCGCUAAUGACGGUACCUGCAGAAUAAGCACCGGCUAACUACGUG